UACAGAGGUGGCAAGCGUUGUUCGGAAUUACUGGGCGUAAAGGGCGCGUAGGCGGCCAUCUAAGUCAGACGUGAAAUCCCCCGGCUUAACCUGGGAACUGCGUCUGAUACUGGAAGGCUUGAGUAUGGGAGAGGGAUGUAGAAUUCCAGGUGUAGCGGUGAAAUGCGUAGAUAUCUGGAGGAAUACCGGUGGCGAAGGCGGCAUCCUGGACCAUUACUGACGCUGAGACGCGAAAGCGUGGGGAGCAAACAGG
rnacentral:rRNA from 1 species